rnacentral:tRNA from 1 species
GAGGAUGUAGCUCAGUGGUAGAGUGUUUGCCUAGCAGGCACAAGGCCCUGAGUUCAAUCCCAACACCAUCA